CCUUUUCCUAUUCGGGGACCCGCCAGUGGUAAGUGUACCCGAAUCUGAUAUCCUAUCAUCUGAAAAAGGAUGCAGUUUCUGGUAUACUUCACCAUUGGCUGGGUCUCUUAGCACUGCACUU
rnacentral:precursor_RNA from 15 species